GAGUGGCACCAGCUCUAUUUAUGCAAAAUACUCCAAAUUCCUUCCUCCUGGUUGGAUGUGAGCUUGGCAUCCUGUCGUUUCCUCAGGAUGUAUGUGAGCCUCCUGGACCUUUCCUGUGCUGCAGGAAAAGCUUUUUUUCCCUUCUCUCCCCAAUCCCAUUGAUUUUUAUCCCGUUCCAGAGCAAGGAGCAGUUUGUUGCCUGUGCCAGGCAAAUGGUUUCUGAUGGGCAGGUGGUUGUUAAGUUUGGGAACAUCCUCGCCAAGCACUGCCUGGACCAGAGAUGCUCCAUGGAGCUGCUCCGUGCCACUGAGCACACCCAAUCCAUCAGCAGCCAGCUCGGCAUCGUGGCCAGGGUGAAAGCAGUGACUGGGGAGAGCAGGGCCUCCUCUGAGCUGCUGCUCAGCAACGUGCAGAACCUCAUUGAAGCAGUCCAGCAUGUCCUGAGGGCGGCCGAGGCAGCGUGUGUCAAAGGUUUGGGACAACCCCCAGAAGACCCUGAAGAAGAAGAAGUUGCUGCUUUCUGCCAGCAGUGGAGAAAAAACCUGACACAGCACAGAGCCAAGGAGGCUUUACGUUCCGACCGGGAUGAAUUAGGGCUCCGGAAAACUCGAGGGGCAAAGGCUGAGCCCACCCUGAUGUCUCUGAUGCAAGAGCAACCCCCUCGGAGCAGGAAUAUCCCAAAGCAUUCCAAUCCUAGGAAAGGACACACAAUUAUGGACAGACAUCUGUAAAUCCAGAGGGGCUCCUUGUCCCAGUGGCGUUGGAAGCAGAGGAGGAAUACUUUGCAGUGUGCAGGAUUCAUGCUGGAGUUUUUCAUUAUGGCAGGAAAACCUUGGAACAGGCUCCGUGGGGAGGCCAGGAAUGUUCUGGUGAGUGCUUUACCCCCAGGUGGUGAGAUGGGAUGGAUGGGGCUCUGGAGAAUCCUGAGCCAGUGGGAGGUGUCAGAGGUAUACCUGCCCAUGGCAAGGGUGGAAUGGGAUGAGUUUAAGGUUCCUUCCCACCCAAACUAUUCCAGGAUUCUGUGAUCCAGAGGUGCUCAGGCUCUGUGCCAUCUUUCAGCCUUUCUUCCUUCACAUAUCCAGGGAUACAGCAGUGGUGAGCAUAUUGUCUCACCUGCUGCCCCUGAACCUGCAGAUUUCUUCCCAAAAUCCCACUCAGCCCCAGGAUUCUCCCAUCCAGAGUAAACAUUCAAUUCCCAAGAUCACCUACCUCACAGCUUCCAGAGUAUCCUAGACUGGUGACACUGCUGCUCCUGUAUUCUGGCUCUCCACAUCCAUCCUUCCAGCCUCAGGAUCACAAGUUGUCCGACAGAAACACUGCUCCAUGCUGGAAUCCUGCAGGAGAGGUGGAAAGGAGCCUCCCCUGUGGAAUACACAAUCCAACACCACAGCAGAUCACAACUUGGCUCCAUGGUGGCUGCAGCCCAUUCCAGCCCACCUUGGUGUCCCACCUGCAUCCCAACCACCUUCCCCAGACCAGGAAUUCCAUUACAUGCACGGCAGCAAGGAGUCUCCUCCGUAUUCCGAGAAAAAGCAGCAGCAGCAGGCACACUGGAGACUCUGGGAAGCUAUCUGCCAUGGAUAAAGCAGGGCAGGGAAGGAGGAAGGCAGGAAGGAAAUACACAUGGAGACAACAGGCUGUGAGGACUUGCAGGCCUUUGUAUCCAUGUCCUAUUUCCACACAGUUUUUCCCUGCUGGCUUGGUUUUUCGAGGAAAACCUUGACCAGCCACACUAGUGAGUAGAUGGAAGAAAUAACAGACUGCUAAUAAAGGGCUAAUGGGUUACUCCAAAAUAACAACCCAGUUCCAUGUCUAUUCUCUACUUUUGCUACACAAAAAAAUAAUAAAAUUAAUGGAAUUCCUGCUCUGGCAAAUCAGGAUGACAAACUGAAACCACGAAUGCCUUCGGAGAUGCCUCCUCUGCUGUGCAGGAAUCACAGGCUUCCCUUGUCUCAUCCAUGCAAGGCAAUCCCUCAGAAUUUGGGAUAAACACUCUGCUGUCCCAGUGGAAACACCACUUGGCCAACAAACAAGAGGAAAAGCUCCAUGACCAUCACUUGGCCAAGGGAAAAACAAGAGGAAAAGGUCCACCAAGGAAGGAACUUAAAGGAGAGAAACCUUCCAAAGGGGUGGGAAGCAGAUGAUUGGUUGAGCAGCCGGCACAUUUUUACUGGAAAAGCAGCUGGCUAGGAAUGACUGCAUUUCCUCUGGAGAAAAAGCAGCCCCAAAGGCAGGACAGGAGGUCUGGAGGACAGUUGUGCUCUCCCGUGCAAAACCUGGGGAAUUCGUGACAUGCAGGAUGUUCCAUGAUGGA